UGCCCUGUGAUGACAUUUAUUUGCUACUCUUGACGAGCUGGAUGACGAUACAGACAACCACCAUGUCAACUAUCUGAGGCA
ensembl:snoRNA SNORD24 Small nucleolar RNA SNORD24